AAUUCGAUGCAACGCGAAGAACCUUACCUGGUCUUGACAUCCCGGAGACCCUUAGGAAACUAGGGGUGCUUCCAUCUGGAAGAAUCUGGAGACAGGUGCUGCAUGGCUGUCGUCAGCUCGUGUCGUGAGAUGUUGGGUUAAGUCCCGCAACGAGCGCAACCCUUGCCUUUAGUUGCCAGCAGUUCGGCUGGCACUCUAAAGGGACUGCCGGUGUUAAACCGGAGGAAGGUGGGGAUGACGUCAAGUCCUCAUGGCCUUUAUGACCAGGGCUACACACGUACUACAAUGGCCGAUACAAAGGGCAGCGACACUGCGAGGUGAAGCCAAUCCCGUAAAAUCGGUCUCAGUCCGGAUUGGAGUCUGCAACUCGACUCCAUGAAGUUGGAAUCGCUAGUAAUCGUGGAUCAGCAUGCCACGGUGAAUACGUUCCCGGGCCUU
rnacentral:rRNA from 1 species